UUUUUACUCAGAUGACUUAGGUGGAAUUCGAAUGAUUCGAUAUGAUGUUAUAGGGUCUAAGUGGUAAAUGAUCAUAAAGUUUUGCAAUGUUUUUAGCAACAUAAUAACGUAGGUAAGGAUAUUACAAAAAAGAGUCUCUAUUCUACAUGGAACAAUUAUUUUGAAAAUGUAAAGGCUGCUACAGUUGAAGAAAACAAGAAUAGGCUAUUCUUACCACAAGGUCCUUCAUCCAUCUGUUAUUAUAUUUAUUUGAAUGUGUGAUUUAAAAUCUGAUAAUGCCAUUCUGAUACCCUUAUUAAUAAUGCCUACUGCAUCUGUAAAAAAAUAUUUUAAGAUAAACGGUCUGUAAUAUUGCUUAUUAAAAACUUAUUUUGAACAUUCUGUAACUGAUAGGUUACUUAAGACUUAUAAGUCCUUUAUUCGUAAUUAUGAAUGUACAACCAGUGGCCCUGAAGGGUCGUUUAUUGAGUGAUAGUGCCCAGAAACCUUUCAAGUGUCCCGUGUGUAAUUAUGCAUGUCAAAGAAUUGGGCAUCUGAGGGAUCAUAUAUUAACUCAUACAGGCGAAAAACCUUACAAGUGUUUAAUUUGUGAGAGUGCAUUUAUAACAAGUGGAGAAAUAAAGAGACAUCUAUUAACUCAUACAGACGAUAAGCCUUAUAGAUGUUCCACAUGCAACAGUACAUUCAGAUCUAGUAGUAAUUUAAAACACCAUGUAUUAACUCAUAUUGGUGAGAAGUCUCAUAAGUGUACUAUAUGUGACUAUACGUGCCUUAAAAGUGGAAAUCUGAAGAAACACAUGUUAACUCACACUGAUGUAAAACCAUUCAAAUGUCCCAAGUGUACCUAUGUAUGUAGAACAAGUUGGCAUCUAAAGAACCAUUCAUUAGUUCAUACUGAUGAGAAGCUUUACAAGUGUUCCACAUGUACAUAUGCAUGCAAAACAAAUGGAAAUCUUAAGAAACAUUUGUUAACACACACAAGAAGGCUUGUAAGUGACCUUUGUGUAGUUAAACAUGAAUAAUCAUGUUGACCUUUAACAGUGAAUAACCUAUUGUGGUGCUUAAUUAUGGAUACCAAAAAAGGGAUUAAAUUUUCAAAAAUUUAUUGACUCUUAUUGGUUAGAUACUCUUUAUGAACACUAUUGAUGUUGAAAUAUUUGUAGUAGAGUCAUUUGUUACGCAGGAUAGAUUCCAAAUAUGUUUACUCUACUGAUUGAUGCAUGGAUACUGUAUAUAUUCUAAUCUUCACUCACAUUGGAACAAACUUAGUCCGAUAAUAAAAAUGCUUAAUAUUAAUGUUAAAAUUUGAAAUGAUUGGCUAAUAAUAAAAUCUACAGUUUGAUCUAA